rnacentral:lncRNA from 1 species
AAGUUAGAUACAGGUAAUGGAUAUAAAGAUUACAUUAUUUUCAUUGAUGCAUUCUUUUGAAAAUAUAUUCAGGAAAGUCAGAAUUCCAGUUCAGAUGAAGAGCAGGUGGAGGAAGCAGCAGCUGGACCGUCAGGGCUUCAGUUCAUUAAGGUGAGAUUAAUUUCUCUCUCUGAUGAGGUUAGAGGGGACAGCUGGGUGCGACGGCCCAGUGAUUUCCCCUUUUUGUGUAUUUCAGCUGGAUCUCCAACCUCUCUUUUGGUAAGUAGUUUUCAGUCUUUGAUAUCUAAAUUAAAUUUGGUUUAUCACUCAAGAAUCACUGAUACUGACACAAUUUUAUUUUUUCCAGCCUCACCAACGUCAUGCUGCACAGCGGCCUACAUCUUAACUUCAUCUGAUAGUCUGCACAGUAACAAACAAAUUAACACGGAAGCUACUGUGUUUGAUCAGAUCCACUUCAAAACCGAUGGAGUUCAUCCUGACACUAUGUUGGCAUCCCAGAAGUCCAAUUUUAAUAUAAAGUGUCAGAGCUUUGAUGUGCAGGUGAGUUUAAUAGAUGUAUGCUGCUAUUAAAUACACUUUUAUUUGACUCGAGACUUAAACUGUACUUUAAUUAACACAUCGAUGUACAACAACGGUGAGAUAAGAGCAAAGAACAUUCCUUAUUCACAAAGAUAGAAUCCCAAAUAUCAUGCUGCAGUGGACCAGACAGCGUGACGUCACACAUCAUGAUUGUGUUACAAUGGCUCACAACUCACUUCUUCCUUUCACUCAUUACAGGUGACUGGUUGUACUACAUGAGGUACACUGGCACAACUCGCUCAAUGGGGGUGAAGGUCCUCCGUGGGGCAAAAGAGGUCUUUGAGGAGGCUCACUUCAGCAGUGGACACCGCAGCCAGAGAACCACCAGAGAGACAAUCUCUCAGGUUUUACUGGCCUGGAAUGUCAAAUGCCACCUUCACCUCCUCCUCUGGGCCAUCCACAGGCUGUUGGCACUCGCCUGCCUCGUUAAACACCACAGUGGACUCUCCGAUCAUCAAGAAUGUGAAUUGCAUGGGAGGGGAAAAAGAUCAACAUCCUUGGAUCGACAGAUUGGCUGCUGUGCCGACGAUGGUACCACAGGAUCCGUGCCAGAGACCGACAAAGGAGAAACAUUUUUCUGCCUUGCAUGCCAGGAGUGACAUUUAUCAUUAAAAUGUUUUAAUAUUAUUUUGUUCUGAG